rnacentral:misc_RNA from 1 species
GUCCACGUUUAUGACCCCUAAAACAGUUCCAUAGAAAAUGUUUGACGGGCCAUGUAUACCAGGAUCUAGUGUAUCUUUUCUUUCAAUAUAGAGGGAGACAUUAAACAUCUGGCCUUUUGAACGGAUCGAUCGCCUUGUUGAUCAUAGAGGUUUUCUUUUAUCUCUUGGUCAAGGGUUGCCAUGAGGGGUCAUUGAUUUCCUCCUCAACGCCUAUCGAUUUCUUGCUGCCCG